UACGUAGGGCGCAAGCGUUGUCCGGAAUUAUUGGGCGUAAAGAGCUCGUAGGCGGUUUGUCGCGUCUGCUGUGAAAGCCCGGGGCUCAACCCCGGGUCUGCAGUGGGUACGGGCAGACUAGAGUGCAGGUAGGGGAGACUGAAUUCCUGGUGUAGCGGUUGAAAUGCGCAGAUAUCAAGGAGGAACACCGAUGGCGAAGGCAGGUCUCUGGGCUGUUACUGACGCUGAGGAGCGAAAGCAUGGGGAGCGAACAGGAUUAGAUACCCCGGUAGUCC
rnacentral:rRNA from 1 species